GCUGAGUGGGAGACAUGGGCUGAGUUGCUGGCAUCAGGAAAGGGUACACAAAGGUACCAGCUGAAAGUGUCUUCAAAACUGGAAGCUUUGGGUCACCAUUCACUUGCGAUUUAUUCAGCAACUAUCAGUACAGCCUGGGAAUUACCCAUGUGAUGUCUUCAUGCCUAGCAUAGCUGUGCCUGAUGCAAAGCAGAUACUUGGUUUUGAUACUUAAACUUUUGGAGGAUUAAAUUUGCGAAAACACUGAGGACCAAAGCAGCUACAGGACUGACCUGCCCAAAACCACACAGUGAGUCUGCAGCCCGGCUUCGGACCAGAGUUUCUUCUGACAAGCGGCAAGCUCACUGAUGGCCACACCCGCUCAUCCUGGAUAACAGUAUUCCCCAGUGGAAUUAACACGAUGCAUCUUCCUGGAGUAUCAUUUUUACUUUAAGAUUUAAAAGCAAGCAAGCAAAUUAAAUAGUCAUUUAAAUCAUAUUUAUAUUAAGCCUAACAUGGCCAUAUUGUAGAGCAAACCAUCGGGAUUUAAUAAACAAAACAGGAAACUUCAAAGAAUGCUUUUUCUUGGAAAGAAGGCAGGAGAGCAAGAAAAGCGACUGCCUCAGCCUUUAUCACUCUCCAGACCAGUGCCAAGGAGCCAAAGAGAAGAAAUGAGAAUAACCAAGGUAUGCUGUGUCCAAUUAAUUAACUAUUAGCAAACAAAGGACCAAACAAUGUGACUGUAAGCUUCAUGACAGCAGGGAGUUUGUAUAUCUUUUCACCUGUGUAUCGGCAGUACCUAGCACCAUACCUGGCACAUUGUAGAUAAUAUAUAUUUGUGGAAUA
rnacentral:lncRNA from 1 species